rnacentral:rRNA from 1 species
UACAGAGGUCUCGAGCGUUGUUCGGAUUCAUUGGGCGUAAAGGGUGCGUAGGUGGUUGGGUAAGUUUGAUGUGAAAGCUCAGGGCUUAACCCUGAAAUGGCAUUGAAUACUACUUAACUGGAGGUUUGGAGGGGGGACUGGAAUUCUUGGUGUAGCAGUGAAAUGCGUAGAUAUCAAGAGGAACACCAGUGGCGAAGGCGAGUCCCUGGACAACACCUGACACUGAGGCACGAAAGCUAGGGGAGCAAACAGG